UGUGGUUGGGCGAGGCCUAAAUAGAAAACACAAUCGCGCGGCUUCAACUUUUGGUUUUCGUUUCGUUUUAGCAUGUUUUAGUAUUGUUAUCAUGAUUGCAAUAUUGUGCUUGUGUUCUUCAGUUCUAGCAAAUCAAUUUAAUUACCCUAAUUCUACUAAUAAAAUUUUGGUGUAGCACAAACUAUACCAAUUGAUGACAAACAGAAUCCAUGACCAUGAGAUCAUGGGUUUGCCAGGAGUUUCCUGAAAUUGUUAUGGUAAGCAACAUCCUCAGCAGUUAUGUUAUGAAACAAAUAGAAAUAGGUAUAUUGCAGAUGUUGUGUUUCAAUGUCACAUAGUUGGAGUCAAGAGUCGGAGUUGGCAUACCAGAUCAUCAGCUUUUGGAUCCCAGAAUCACUGCUUUAUGAAAAUGGUAAAGGCCAGAGGUUAAAUUUUUAGUGCAUAUGCUUAUUUUGCCCCCACCUCUUAUCAAAUAGAGGUUUGAGUACAUACUAACAAACUCACAUUUUUGAUGAAUCAAGUUAUUGUUAUUAUUGUUGACGAGCCACUUUUCUCUGGGUCCUUAAACUGGACUUCACAAGCCACUGGUAAUCAAAUUUUGAAACAUUUCUGUUUAUUCUAAGUUUCUGAUGACCUGCACCUUUGCAUUCAUUCAUUUACAUUGCACAAGAAAUUUUUUAAUCUCUUGAUCUUGAAUCCUUAUCAAAAUAAAUAAAUGAUUUAUGUUAGAAGA